rnacentral:rRNA from 1 species
AUUGAACGCUGGCGGCAGGCCUAACACAUGCAAGUCGAACGGUAACAGGAAGAAGCUUGCUUCUUUGCUGACGAGUGGCGGACGGGUGAGUAAUGUCUGGGAAACUGCCUGAUGGAGGGGGAUAACUACUGGAAACGGUAGCUAAUACCGCAUAACGUCGCAAGACCAAAGAGGGGGACCUUCGGGCCUCUUGCCAUCGGAUGUGUCCAGAUGGGAUCAGCUAGUAGGUGGGGUAACGGCUCACCUAGGCGACGAUCCCUAGCUGGUCUGAGAGGAUGACCAGCCACACUGGAACUGAGACACGGUCCAGACUCCUACGGGAGGCAGCAGUGGGGAAUAUUGCACAAUGGGCGCAAGCCUGAUGCAGCCAUGCCGCGUGUAUGAAGAAGGCCUUCGGGUUGUAAAGUACUUUCAGCGGGGAGGAAGGGAGUAAAGUUAAUACCUUUGCUCAUUGACGUUACCCGCAGAAGAAGCACCGGCUAACUCCGUG